rnacentral:rRNA from 1 species
GGUCAAAGUAAUAAGACUCA